UACGGAGGGUGCAAGCGUUAUCCGGAUUCACUGGGGUUAAAGGGUGCGUAGGCGGGCUUGUAAGUCAGUGGUGAAAGCCCGGAGCUUAACUCCGGAACUGCCAUUGAUACUGCAAGUCUUGAGUACACUUGAGGUGGGCGGAAUACAUCAUGUAGUGGUGAAAUACUUAGAUAUGAUGUAGAACACCGAUUGCGAAGGCAGCUCACUAAAUUGUAACUGACGCUGAGGCACGAAAGCGUGGGGAUCAAACAGG
rnacentral:rRNA from 1 species